rnacentral:rRNA from 1 species
GACGAACGCUGGCGGCGUGCCUAAUACAUGCAAGUCGAACGCUUCUUUCCUCCCGAGUGCUUGCACUCAAUUGGAAAGAGGAGUGGCGGACGGGUGAGUAACACGUGGGUAACCUACCCAUCAGAGGGGGAUAACACUUGGAAACAGGUGCUAAUACCGCAUAACAGUUUAUGCCGCAUGGCAUAAGAGUGAAAGGCGCUUUCGGGUGUCGCGGAUGGAUGGACCCGCGGUGCAUUAGCUAGUUGGUGAGGUAACGGCUCACCAAGGCCACGAUGCAUAGCCGACCUGAGGGGGUGAUCGGCCACACUGGGACUGAGACACGGCCCAGACUCCUACGGGAGGCAGCAGUAGGGAAUCUUCGGCAAUGGACGAAAGUCUGACCGAGCAACGCCGCGUGAGUGAAGAAGGUUUUCGGAUCGUAAAACUCUGUUGUUAGAGAAGAACAAGGACGUUAGUAACUGAACGUCCCCUGGCGGUAUCUAACCAGAAAGCCACGGCUAACUACGUG